AGCAGGAGAACACGCGUCCUGUGAUUGCAGGCGUUAACAACGCGAGCCGAAAACAUUCAGGCCGGGGGCCAACAAGCAAGCAGCGAAACCGACAGGAACUAAAAAAAAUAAAAAAAUACAUUCCCAAAAAUAAAACGUAACAAACAAACAGAUUUCUUCUGUUUAUAAGUCUUUUGAACGGAUCCUGGUUCAGAUCAAACCAAUUCUAAUAAGAAAAUCUAUCAAUUAAUAUCAAUUAACUGGCAUCAUGAUACCUCUGGCCCUCUCUGCUUCGCCGAAUAGUUUUUAUUUAGGCGCAUUGGAGGGUUUCCAGGUAUAAAAGCUGAUUUAAGUCGAGCUUUUUCGUAAAGCCAUCCAAAACCUGGUUUCUUUUCUUUUGACAGAUGGAUAUUCUUCUUCCAGCAGAGAGCAGGACUCCUGGUUUCAGUGAUUUAAAUGACGUGUGCUGGUCCUGAAGCAGAAAGGCAGCCUCACAAUACCAGCCACAUAAUGGAGGACGAGACGUUUAGAGAAAAGGAGCGGCUUGGAAAGAGAGAAGGAAAGACAGGACAGCUUUGUACGUCGGACCGUCCUGCUGCAGACGACUGACAACAUAAUAGACGCUCGAACACGAGAGCGUUUCCUGAUUUCUGCGUGUUGUAGUCACAGAAAG